rnacentral:rRNA from 1 species
GACGAACGCUGGCGGCGUGCCUAAUACAUGCAAGUAGAACGCUGAAGGAGGAGCUUACUUCUCUGGAUGAGUUGCGAACGGGUGAGUAACGCGUAGGUAACCUGCCUGGUAGCGGGGGAUAACUAUUGGAAACGAUAGCUAAUACCGCAUAAGAGUAGAUGUUGCAUGACAUUUACUUAAAAGGUGCAAUUGCACCACUACCAGAUGGACCUGCGUUGUAUUAGCUAGUUGGUGGGGUAACGGCUUACCAAGGCGACGAUACAUAGCCGACCUGAGAGGGUGAUCGGCCACACUGGGAAUGAGACACGGCCAAGACGCCUACGGGAGGCAGCAGUAGGGAAUCUUAGGCAAUGGACGGAAGUCUGACCGAGCAACGCGGCGUGAGUGAAGAAGGUUUUCGGAUCGUAAAGCUCUGUUGUAAGAGAAGAACGAGUGUGAGAGUGGAAAGUUCACACUGUGACGGUAUCUUACCAGAAAGGGACGGCUAACUACGUGCCAGCCGCCGCCGUAA